rnacentral:rRNA from 1 species
UUUGGUGGCGAUAGCGAAGAGGCCACACCCGUUCCCAUACCGAACACGGAAGUUAAGCUCUUCAGCGCCGAUGGUAGUUGGGGGUUUCCCCCUGUGAGAGUAGGACGCCGCCAAGC